GGAUUCAGAGAGCUUGGGCUUGUUGCAUAAUUAUUAAUCACUGACCUGCUUGUCUCUUCUGUGAGCCACGAACUCCUCAAGUACAUAGGACUCAUUCUCCGAAUGACCCCGGAACACCUGGUGUUAUGGACCAGCACGGAGCCCAGUGCAACAACAGUGGAAAGGGCGGAGCACAUCUGGAAAACAUACCUGCCGUUGAAAUCAGAUCCUUGAAUUUGCGUAACAGAACCCAGGAUUUGAGAUGGAUGCCUGAUUUGAACUGACCAGAUGUCUGGAGGUGGGAAGUUCUGCUUGUUCCAUGACACUACCUGUAAUGUGAUUAUUUUCCAGGGGAACUCAAACCAGACCUUCAGCUUGGCUGCUGGAACUUGGUGUACCAAAUGGCCUUGAUUGAGAUCUUCAGUUUCUGGCUGGCUAUCUUUCAGGAACCAGUCUUUGCUACUAGAGCCUGUCUGUGUACAUCCUUAUGAUUUGGAGAAAGUCCUGGAAGCCUCUCCAGUAAUUAAUGUGGGCAAAACCCAUUCACUGCCCAGUUCCUUCUUCCUGUCCAGUGGAUGGCCAAAGCCAGCAAUCCGAGAAGAGCCACUGGGCUCCGGGUGCCUUCCUAUGACCUUUUCCUUGAGGACUUUGCAUUACCAAAGGAGAUAUGCUCUAUCAGCUGAUAAGCCCAGAUACCAUGGACCUGGGACCGUAGG